ACUCCUACGGGAGGCAGCAGUGGGGAAUCUUGCGCAAUGGGCGAAAGCCUGACGCAGCGACGCCGCGUGCGGGAUGACGGCCUUCGGUUGUAACCGCUUUCGGCAGGGACGAAAAUAGACGGUACCUGCAGAAGAAGCCCGGCUAACUACGUGCCAGCAGCCGCGGUAAUACGUAGGGGGCAAGCGUUGUCCGGAUUUAUUGGGGCGUAAAGAGCUCGUAGGCGGUUCAGUAAGUCGGGGUGUGAAAAAUCUGGGGCUCAACCCAGUGGAGCACCCGAUACUGCUGUGACUAGAGUCCGGUAGGGGAGUGUGGAAUUCCUGGUGUAGCGGUGAAAUGCGCAGAUAUCAGGAGGAACACCGACAGCGAAGGCAGCACUCUGGGCCGGUACUGACGCUGAGGAGCGAAAGCAUGGGGAGCAAACAGGAUUAGAUACCCUGGUAGCGACUGA
rnacentral:rRNA from 1 species